GCAUGGCUGAAUUCUGUUUUACUUUAUCUGUAGUAAUGGCAGUCAGACACCAUGCAAGAUCAUCCCUCUCCCUUGUUUUGAAAUGGUGAUGAUGGAACUGUUGUCAUGUGUUUUAAGGGAGAACACAG
ensembl:snoRNA SNORA15B-1 small nucleolar RNA, H/ACA box 15B-1